UACAGAGGGGGCAAGCGUUAUUCGGAAUUAUUGGGCGUAAAGGGCGCGUAGGCGGCGAUUCAAGUGACGGGUGAAAUCCCUCGGCUUAACCGAGGAACUGCCUGUCAGACUGGAUUGCUUGAGGCCGGGAGAGGCGAGUGGAAUUCCCAGUGUAGCGGUGAAAUGCGUAGAUAUGCGGAGGAACACCGAUGGCGAAGGCAAUCCCCUGGACCUGUACUGACGCUCAUGCACGAAAGCGUGGGGAGCAAACAGG
rnacentral:rRNA from 1 species